AAAAGGCACUUGAAACUGUACUUGCAUUUCAACUGCAAUCCUUUAAGUGUUGCAUACAAUAGGUACUCAGCGAAUCAACUCUCCCCCUCCAGCAUGGGGAUAUCAGUGCUUACAGUUCUGUGCUACAGAAUGUUAUUUCACCUCCUUCUCCAAAAUCCGGAUGGGAUCCGUGCAGUGGAAGCAGAUAUGCUGUUCCAGCUGUAAUUGACGGGAGACAUCAGGCUUCAACCAAUAUCCAAUCCUUGGCAUCCUCCAAUUUAAGUCCAUCAACAACGUGCCAUUUUCACAUUAACGAUUCAUGUUGCUAUUGGAAAGUCUUAAAAUUUUUAUUAGACAUAUCUUAGUCAUUCACACCUUGAUUUUGUGCUGGAAAUCUUCACCUUCCAUUCCAUAAAUUUGAUUUACAGAGGAAUUGGAAUUUCA